rnacentral:lncRNA from 1 species
UGUUGAGCAGAUUGAUGCCAUAGAGAAGCAAGUGACUGAAUUUGAAGCUGUGGUCUCUAUGCUUGAUAAAUAUGUGGCUUUGUUGGAAUCGAAAGUCCACUCACUGUACCAAACCAAAACUCCAUCUUCCUAAUGAACAAAUAAUGUACAAAUUGAGCAAAUGGGUAGGACUAAUGAGAAUAGUCUCCCUCAACUUGCUAAUUUACUUGUUUUACUCUCAACUUGUAUUAUUUUGCUCUAGUUUAUACAGUUUAUUUGGAUCCUCAAACUCCCCUUCAAUUCAUAAGGGUUUUAAAUAAAGGUUCGCGACUGCAAUAUGGAUUGCAACGAAACAGAUUUUGAUUUAGUUGGAACUACAAUGUGAUUGCAAUCGAAGCUGCAAUUGACCGUGUUUCCUUGCAAUAUCAAGAAUUGUGAUGCGACUGCAACCUUUAUUGUGAUUUAAGAAAGGUAGAAUUAUAAUAUAGUGAUUUUGGUCAAAAGAAAAAGAAUGGGUAGAAAUAUAAUAGUGAUAUAUCCUCAUAAGUUUACUUAAUAUAGAAAGGGUAAAAGCAUGUUGUAUUGUAAUAAGAAUCUAGAAACUUAUUUUGUUCUUUCUCUUUAAAUAAUUAUCACAAGCUGUUAUUUUGAGAAUAUAAAAACACAUUAUUCUAAUAGGGGUAAUUAGCU